rnacentral:misc_RNA from 1 species
UUUCCGUAGGUGAACCUGCGGAAGGAUCAUUAUCGUACAGACUGAGAGGUGCAUCCUAGGCCUGUCGCUAACCUAAAAUGCGCGCACGACCGAGUGUGUCCUCUUGCAUAAUAAUCCAUCUCACCCUUUGUGCAUCACCGCGUGGAGACCCUUCGGGAUCAUCUCGGAGGGGGUCUCGCGGUUUCACUAAAACCCCCCUUUUAAAAGUAUAGAAUGACCACAUUUAUGCAAUCAAUACAACUUUCAACAACGGAUCUCUUGGCUCUC